AUCCCACCAAGUUCAGCAUGCUGCCUCCUCUUACCUCUUCUUCGCCUUAUUCUUGACAGUAGGGAAGGGAAGGACCGAGAGAUUCCAAGCAGGGAGGGACAGCAUGUGGAGGGGUAGAGGAGGAGGAGGAGGGCGAAAUGGCUAGAAGAAGGUUGACGGAACUUACAAAUCCAAAUCCCGCGGUCUUGUAAAUUGGUCCAACCAUUGUAUAACCUUUACAGUACUUUGAAAGGAAUUGCUUGAUAUAUGGGAUUUCAUGGACAAUGGCCGCAACACCACCACUGUGGCUUCCUUUCUUCAGGGCCUCAACAUACUCAUCUGAAAACCCAUACAGGCAUUUUUCUACUUAAAAUGAGGAGAAAGUGUUUGAGGAAUCAGUUACGAAACUGUGGGCAAAAACUAGCGUCGAGAAAGAGAAGUAGAAGAUUGUCCCAAGCUGCUGGCUAACUGGAUCCCUAAACUCCAUGUUGAUGCAAUGUUCGAGCACCCACACAACAAAUCCAGUGUAGAAGAAAGCAGCCAAGCUCCCCAACCACAAAUCAAAGAAAUAAUUGCAAAGGCACAAAAAUUCUGAUACUAAUCAGACAACAAAAGAUAACUGGAUAGCUACCUGCAGAAGCCGCCUGCACCACAUCGUUACCCGAAUCUUUGGUGUGGAGAACCAGUCUCGCGGUGUAGUUGCUGUUGAUGGAGUAGAAGUCAUCGAUCGCCAUCGAUAUGCUAGUUUGCCCCAUUUUUCCGACCAAGGUGGUCAGGUCAAGGAUUACUCCAACAUGAAAGGGAUUUUCCAUAAUGUUGCUGCCAUUUCUCUGUGCUGCUGCAAAGAGAAUGAACGUGAACAGGAAGACAAUGACACCAGUACAGGGAAGUGGGUGGAAAAAUCUCAGCUCUAAACAAAUAGGAGAGUUGAAAGAUUCAAACAGAUUGAAGGCAUGGGAAGUUUCUCAUCAGCAUACUUCCAAUCGAAAGGAAACAGAGCUUAGGGUACUGUUCAUAAAAGAAUAAUUCCAUAUGCACAUGUAGAGCACAUCAUUGCAAUCUUGGAGGGCAAGAGAUGGAUUAUAAGAGAAAACACAGAAGCAAUAGCAUCUUCCCUCAAUGGCAUUGACUUGCCAUGGAUUUCUGAGAAGCUGAAACAAGUCUAAUCAUAAUAAGAUGGCUUACUUUGUCAAACUCCGAUGUAAUCCAAGCACUAUGAUGAGCUCAGAGUAUAAUAGUUGCCUCGAUGACUUUGAUUA